rnacentral:rRNA from 1 species
GAUGAACGCUAGCUACAGGCUUAACACAUGCAAGUCGCGGGGCAGCAUGGGGGUUGUUUGCAAUCCCCGAUGGCGACCGGCGCACGGGUGAGUAACGCGUAUCCAACCUGCCCUUCACCACGGGAUAACCCGGCGAAAGUCGGACUAAUACCGUAUGUUGUCCAUUGACGGCAUCCGAUUUGGACGAAAGGCUUGGCGGUGAGGGAUGGGGAUGCGUCCGAUUAGCCAGACGGCGGGGUAACGGCCCACCGUGGCUACGAUCGGUAGGGGUUCUGAGAGGAAGGUCCCCCACACUGGAACUGAGACACGGUCCAGACUCCUACGGGAGGCAGCAGUGAGGAAUAUUGGUCAAUGGGCGUAAGCCUGAACCAGCCAAGUAGCGUGCAGGAUGACGGCCCUAUGGGUUGUAAACUGCUUUUAUGCGGGGAUAAAGUGGCCCACGUGUGGGCUUUUGCAGGUACCGCAUGAAUAAGGACCGGCUAAUUCCGUG